rnacentral:rRNA from 1 species
GGGUUUAGAACGUCGUGAGACAGUUCGGCCCCAUCUGCCGUGGGCGUUGGAAGAUUGAAGGGGGCUGCUCCUAGUACGAGAGGACCGGAGUGGACGAACCUCUGGUGUUCGGGUUGUCAUGCCAGUGGCCAUUGCCCGGUAGCUAAGUUCGGAAUCGAUAACCGCUGAAAGCAUCUAAGCGGGAAGCGAGCCCUGAGAUGAGUCUUC